AAGUGGCGCGGGUUUCGCGAUAAGCCCGCUGGGCUACGCUGCGCCGCCAGCCCACAAAAUCCCGCAUCCCAGCCCACAACGCCGAAGCGGACAUUUCGCGGUAACCCGCACGGCCCAGCGGCGCCGCAUAACCCGCUCCCCGCUUCCCUGGCGAACUCUAGCGCCGCCAUGGCGAGUCCCUCGGCUCGACCUCCGCUGCCUCCCGUUCCUACACCUGCUCCGCGUGCGUCGCCUCCAUUGAUGCCGGCGCCAGCACCCGGAUCCGCACCAGCGCCAUUGAGAUCUGGGCUCAUGGUCGCAACCUCUGGUCCCUCGGUGAUGCUGUCUCCACUGCCGCCGCCACCUGCUUCGUCGCCCGCAGCAGCACCUGUGCCGGUGCCCUUGGUUGGCAUGAAGACCGGCGGCGGCAUCCUCCUCCCGGAAACAUCCAAGCAGCAGGCUGAGGGAGAUGCACUGAAGUGUAAGGUCUCUAGCGUGAAGAGGGCAAGUGAUGGAUCCAAGUGUAGUGCUAAUAGAUUAGUGUGGUUCUGUAAUGUAUAAUCCAUUUUAAUCUUUUCAGAAACUCACCAAUGUCAUCAUCCGAUCCUGGAGAAUAUUUGGAUUUUGAUGUAGUGUUGAAAAAUCUGGAGCAUAUAGUUGUUAUAGGCUUUUUAUACAUGUAUGGUGUUGCAAAAUCUGGAUCAUAAGCUUGUUAUACUUGGAGCUUAGGCUUGCUAGCA